UACGGAGGGUGCAAGCGUUAAUCGGAAUUACUGGGCGUAAAGCGCGCGUAGGCGGUUUGUUAAGUCGGAUGUGAAAGCCCCGGGCUCAACCUGGGAAUUGCAUCCGAGACUGGCAGGCUAGAGUGCAGUAGAGGGGUGUGGAAUUUCCGGUGUAGCGGUGAAAUGCGUAGAUAUCGGAAGGAACAUCAGUGGCGAAGGCGGCACCCUGGACUGACACUGACGCUGAGGUGCGAAAGCGUGGGGAGCAAACAGG
rnacentral:misc_RNA from 1 species